UCCCCCAUAUAACUCAGUAAAUUUGGUC
rnacentral:piRNA from 1 species